ensembl:lncRNA
GCACCCACCUAUCUCCACAAACAGGACUGGGCAUUAAGCUGGAAACACACACUCACACACUAGUAUGCUUUACACACUUUUCAAAUGAGUCAUAGGAGCAGAAUAGUCAUAGAGGCAGGUCCAUCUCACUCUUACAUAUACUCUUACACAUAACGACAGCAGCUUCUACUACGGGACAUUUUUUAUUGUUAUCCUGUUAUAUUAGACAUACAUACAUACACAGACAUCUGUACAAGUACAUUAAUUACUUACAUAAACAUAAACUAAAACUAAAACGUCAUUGGAUGAAAAAAUGGAUUUCCUCCUAUAUUCCCUGAUGUUUCUGCCUCUCCUGUAUAUUUCAGCAGCGUCCCAACCUACGUCAUCGCAAAAAACAAUCCUGUCAAGUCCUGCGACUGAGAAAAUAACCACAAGUACCGUGAGAAGAGAAGGGGAUCCAGGAGCCACUGUAACUUCAACCCCACGCGUCAAUACAACAGGGAGCACCACUGUCAUAAGUUCGACCUCUUCUACAGCAUCACCGGUCUACCAAACAACGGGCCUAACAGGAAUACUGAUGAGCAUCCACUCUACAACAUCAACAUCACAGAGAUCCACAAGAAGCCCAGGUUCUCCACCAGAUGAGGCAAUAACUUCUACUCCGCAUCAAUCUAGCUCCAGCUCAAGUCCACAGUUGUCAAGGGCAACAACACAAGCCCUAUCUCCGGAGGAAAAUGCAAUGGACUCAUUAUUAUCUUCUUCUCCUUCUCCGACUACACAGCCGGGAAGCAGCCUCACCAUGGUGGCCUUUGGAGUGAUGACCUUCAUUCUCAUCCUAAUCAUCAUCAUGGUGAUUUUGGUGGCAACUGUAAAUAUGAAAGGGCAGUGCAAUAACAACGAGGGAAAAGAUAAAAAAAGUUGGGAAUCUGUCAUUGAGAGCAAUGUUACAACCAGUGGAGAGAAAGAGAGCAUUACACUAGUCUCUAUGAGGACAAUUAACACAGAAACUGAUACAGAUUCUCCUCGUCUUUCGUCCGUCCAUAGCACCAUAUUAGACAAUGACGAACUAGAGGUCUACAGAGAUUAACUCACAUCAGAGGCUGAACUUACUUUUGCUGGGUGAAAACAAGAAGAGUCUGCAGCAACACCAGACCAAAUCAGUUUUGUAAAAAAAAAAAAAAUCCCUCUGUAUUAGGCUACUGAUGAGUAUUUCCAUUAAUGUAGUUGAUUGUUUUGUCUCUUUGUGUUAUUAAUGCAACGAUAGGACUUGGGUAUGCUGUUGUAUAGGGGUGAAGUCCAGUAAAUUGGGCCACUUUUUCGGUCAAAUGUGCAUGAAAACCAAAAUCCACUCAACUCACCUCUACAAUUUUGUUGAAAAUAGGAAGCAAAAGUAAGUUUUAAAAUAAUGUUUUAAGCUCAACAGCUGUUUAUGCACAGAAUGUCUGCCUUCUGAGUCAACAUGUUGCGUAUCUGGUCAAAUGGACCAUGCAUCAGGCUAAAAUGGACCAUUGAAAUUAAACAGAAGUUUGCAUAAUUCUAAUAAAUGAAAUUAAAACUUGUUUAUUGUAUUCA